rnacentral:lncRNA from 1 species
CCCCCCCUUUCCCGGGCGCCGGCCCCCUGAGCUGCCGCCCCAGCCCCGCAGGAGCUCCUUCUCACCUUCAGUCCCGGAUUCCCCCUUUUCCAGGGUCUCCCUCAGAUAACCCUUCUCCCCCAAUCCUACGUUCAAAGCCACCACGACCAAAGUGGGCGAAUUGGGGGUGAGGCCCUUCCUUUGCUGCACCCCUUAACCCAGCUGUCCCUAUGUCCCCCCUCCAACCUGGAGCUGAGAGCUGGGAACUGAGGACCAGAGACCCAGAAAGAGCCAUAGGCCAUGACACUGGUGAGUUGCCAGUCAGCACCAGGCUUCCACGUGCCAUGAGCUGCAUCUGUUGUUCCCUCUUCUGUCUGCCGGGCGUGAGAUCUGCAAACCAAGCUUGGCUUGACCCACACCCAACCCAGACCUGACAUCUUCUGGACACACACACACACAGCUGAAGUCACAUGGAUGGGCUCCUGCCUGGAUACUGC